GGACCCCACUGCUAUCGAGGUGGGAUUAAGCCAUGCUAGUCGGACGACCCCGGACCAUGGCGGGGAAGUGGCAGACAGCUCAGUAACACGUAGCUAACCUACCCUUGGGACGGGAACAACCCCGGGAAACUGGGGCUAAUCCCCGAUAGGCGUGGAUACCUGGAAUGGUUCCACGCCCAAAGGUCUGCGCGUCCAUGUCGCGCGCAUACGCCCAAGGAUGGGGCUGCGGCCGAUCAGGCUGUUGGUGAGGUAAAGGCUCACCAAACCUUUGACCGGUACGGGCCGUGAGAGCGGUAGCCCGGAGAUGGGCACUGAGACAGGGGCCCAGGCCCUACGGGGCGCAGCAGGCGCGAAACCUCCACAAUGCACGCAAGUGCGAUGGGGCUAGCUCGAGUGCCGCCUGAAGAAGGCGGCUUUUCCACGGUGUAAUGAGCCGUGGGAAUAAGAGGGGGGCAAGACUGGUGUCAGCCGCCGCGGUAAUACCAGCUCCUCGAGUGGUAGGGACGAUUAUUUGGCCUAAAGCGUUCGUAGCCGGCUUAGCAAGUCUUCCGUUAAAUCCGGCGACUUAAUCGCCGGACCGCGGGAGAUACUGUUAAGCUAGGGGACGGGAGAGGUCGACGGUAUUCCCGGGGUAGGGGCGAAAUCCUAUAAUCCCGGGAGGACCACCGGUGGCGAAGGCGGUCGACCAGAACGUGCCUGACGGUGAGGGACGAAAGCUGAGGGAGCAAACCGGAUUAGAUACCCGGGUAGUCCCAGCCGUAAACGAUGCGGGCUAGGUGUUGGAACGGCUACGAGCCGCUCCGGUGCCGCAGGGAAGCCGUUAAGCCCGCCGCCUGGGGAGUACGGUCGCAAGGCUGAAACUUAA
rnacentral:rRNA from 1 species